rnacentral:rRNA from 1 species
UCCUGCCGGACCUGACUGCUAUCGGGAUGAGGCUAAGCCAUGGAAGUCGACGUGCGCCCUUGCGCACGUGGCGUACGGCUCAGUAACGCGUGGCUAACCUGCCCUCGUGACGGGGAUAACCUCGGGAAACUGAGGAUAAUCCCCGAUAGGCGAGCGGCUUUGGAAGAACCGCUCACCGAAAGGGACGGAGGGAAUGGCCUUCGUCCGCGCGAGGAUGGGGCUGCGUCCCAUCAGGCAGUUGGUGGGGUAAUGGCCCACCAAACCUAUAACGGGUACGGGCCGUGAGAGCGGGAGCCCGGAGAUGGGCACUGAGACAAGGGCCCAGGCUCUACGGAGCGCACCAAGCGCGAAACCUUCGCAAUGCGGGAAACCGUGACGGGGCCAUCCCGAGUGCAGGCUGCUGAGGUCUGCUUUUGCCCAGUGUAAGAAGCUGGGCGAAUAAGUGGGGGGCAAGACUGGUGUCAGCCGCCGCGGUAAUACCAGCUCCACGAGUGGUCAGGACGGUUAUUGGGCCUAAAGCGUCCGUAGCCGGCCCGGUAAGUUUAUGGUGAAAUCCGGCAUCUCAAGUGUCGGAGCGCUGUAAAUACUGCCGGGCUAGGGAGCGGGAGAGGCCGAGGGUACCUCCGGGGUAGGGGCGAAAUCCUAUAAUCCCGGAGUGACGACCAGUGGCGAAAGCGCUCGGCUAGAACGCGUCCGACGGUGAGGGACGAAAGCUGGGGUAG